rnacentral:rRNA from 1 species
AUGUACUAUAGCCGCGACCUCUUCAAGAAAUUGCAACUCCUCAAGCAAGGCACCAAGCCCAUUGAAGAGUAUUACAAGGAAAUGGAGAUUGCAAUGAUACGAGCUAAUGUCACGGAAGGUGAGGAGCAAACCAUGACAUGUUUCUUAAAUGGCCUCAACCAUCCUAUCAAGAAGAUCGCCGACUUCCAACCUUACUCUAACCUCCUAGAGCUAGUGCACCAAGCUACCAAGGCGGAGCGACAAGUGCAAGAUGACGACAAGUAUGCCAAGUACUCUUCCAAGGCCUACGGCUCCUACAAUCAAGCUUCAAUGACUAUGAUGCCUUCUCCCUCAAGGAAACCUACACCAAGCAACGGUGACAAGUCAAGUUACAAGAAAACUUUGACACCUUCAAGUCAUCCUCCUACUACAAGCAACUUCAAGCCGAGAGCUUCAUCAUCAACAACUCCACCGGUUGAGACCGUCAAGACAAGUUCCAUCAAAUUCUUCACAUAUCAAGGGCGAGGCCACAAGACAAUUGAGUGCCCCACUCGGCGCAUCAUGAUCACUAACGAUGACGACACCUAUGACUCGAUGAGUGAGGAAGAAACGGAAGCGCAUGAGCACAUGGCCAUGCAUCGACAUGUGAAUGAAGAUGAAGAUGACCAAGUCUUUUGUUACAAUGAUUCGAGCCCCGCUCUUGUUGUCUCCAAGGUCUUAACACUUCAACAUCAACAAGAUGAAUACCAACAUUGCCACAUCUUCCACACCAAAGCGGGCAUCAAUGGAUGUUCCGUGAAGGUCAUCAUCGACGGAGGAAGUUGCCACAGUUUGGCAAGUGAAGAACUAUGCGCCAAGUACAUUUUGUGA